AAUCAUAAAAAGCAACAUAUAAGGCAAAACAACUAUGGGAGGACUACUCAAAAUCAUAAUUAGAUACUCCAGAAGGAUACUGAGGUCCAUUUUGAGUUGAUCUACCUGUUUGUCUUCUUCUUCCUCUUAAUGGUAGCGUUGGAAGAGCUUCUUUAGAAGUAGUCUCUGGGAUUUCAUAAUCAAACUCUUCCAAAAUUAAAGGCUCUCUUGUUGAGGUUGAUCUUCUUGACUUAAGGAUUCUUCUUUUUUCUUGGGAGGCUCGUGAGUCAGCAUAAUUUUU
rnacentral:lncRNA from 1 species